AUUCACUACUGGAGAUGUUUUUAAGAAUUGUAUCCUUAAAAUGGAGGAAAGGCAGAGAGUCAAGAGACAUGUUUUUUCUCUAGACUCUGAGACUUCAAUCGGCAAUAAUCUUCAUUCUUCACCAAAAGAAUUAUCUCUAUACCCUAUACGACGAUUCAUAUUUCCCAUUAAUCUCUUGCCGAAAAUCUGAAGUACUCAUUCAUUUUUUCGUCAAUCUUUUUUCGAGACUUGAAUUAAAUUUGCUAGGUUUUAAAAGUGGCCAAGCAGGCUAUCGACCUGAACGUGGGGAUU
rnacentral:lncRNA from 1 species